GUGUAUUUCCCUAGAGUUUUUCACUGUAAUCUGUGUGGUUGAGAACUGUAGUUAAAGUAUGACAUGCAUGGCUUACAGUCUCAUGUUUUGUCCAUGCGUUUAAUAUUCAGUUGUCUGGUUUGUGGUUUUGUAGCUUCUAGAUCUAGGUCUGGGGAUUGUUGGUUAUAGUGUUUGUGUUGGUUCUGCUCCAUUUGCCUAAUGAUUUUUGCCUUUGUAAGUUUAGGUUUGGUUCAAUGCAGAAAGUUUCUCACAAGGAUGUACCACUAGUCUCUUCUCUUGAGAGUGCAGAUUCUCUGAAUGAUCUGUUUGUGCCUAAUGAUCUUGCAGAUGAUGGUUCUAAUCCUAUGUCUUUGGAAAUCUCUAGUGAUGAUGGAGGGCUUGACAAUCUCAAGUGUGGUCCAGGGAAGCUGCUGGGAGGGAUUGCGUGGGGUUCUCUUGCUCUUUUGGUUUAGUUGACAACCGGGUCUUCUUUUUUUUAAGUCCAACCCGUUUAGUGGGAACGAACAGUAUCAGUGGUUUUGGGCAAUACAGAUGUCAACCGGACAUUGGUCAGAAAAUUUGAAUGAUAUCCAAUAGGAAAUCAGUCAAA